UACGUAGGUGGCAAGCGUUGUCCGGAGUUACUGGGCGUAAAGAGUGCGUAGGCGGUUUUCUAAGUUUGGUGUGAAAUCUCCCGGCUUAACUGGGAGGGUGCGCCGAAGACUGGAAGGCUUGAGUAUGGGAGAGGUAAGCGGAAUUCCUGGUGUAGCGGUGAAAUGCGUAGAUAUCAGGAGGAACACCUGCGGUGUAGACGGCUUACUGGACCAUCACUGACGCUGAGGCACGAAAGCGUGGGUAGCAAACAGG
rnacentral:rRNA from 1 species